rnacentral:rRNA from 1 species
CUUGGUCAUUUAGAGGAAGUAAAAGUCGUAACAAGGUUUCCGUAGGUGAACCUGCGGAAGGAUCAUUAGUGAAUGAGGCUUUCGAGCUUCAACCCACUGCCAUUGCACUUUGGCUGUGCGCCUCUCUCCUCGGAGAGGCUUGCACGCCGAUUUGCAUUGAUUCUCACACCUGUGCACCCUUCGAGAUGUGGACUACGGAAGAAUUUUUUUUUUCUGCCUGCAAGUCCCGUCUCGCCUUUUACCAAACCACUGUCACGAAUGUACAAAAUCUAUAACUUAUACAACUUUCAACAACGGAUCUCUUGGCUCUCGCAUCGAUGAAGAACGCAGCGAAAUGCGAUAAGUAAUGUGAAUUGCAGAUUUUCAGUGAAUCAUCGAAUCUUUGAACGCACCUUGCGCUCCUUGGUAUUCCGAGGAGCAUGCCUGUUUGAGUGUCAUUAAAUUCUCAACUCUGAUCGAUUUGUUUCGACUUCGGAGCUUGGAUUUGGAGCGUGCUGGCGUCGGUCGGCUCCUCUUAAAUGCAUCAGCGGAAUCUAACGUUUCGGAUGUCAGUGUGAUAAUCAUGUUGCGCUGUCUGUCUGAUCCGAAAGCCCGCUCACAAUGGUCUUCGGACAACUUCAUAUCAAAUUUGACCUCAAAUCAGGUAGGACUACCCGCUGAACUUAAGCAUAUCAAUAAGCGGAGGA